CUGCGAAUGGCUCAUUAUAUAAGUUAUCGUUUAUUUGAUAGUACCUUACUACUUGGAUAACCGUGGUAAUUCUAGAGCUAAUACAUGCUAAAAAUCCCGACUUCGGAAGGGAUGUAUUUAUUAGAUUAAAAACCAAUGCCCUCUGGGCUCUCUGGUGAUUCAUGAUAACUUCUCGAAUCGCAUGGCCUUGUGCCGGCGAUGGUUCAUUCAAAUUUCUUCCCUAUCAACUUUCGAUGUUUGGGUAGUGGCCAAACAUGGUUGCAACGGGUAACGGAGGGUUAGGGCUCGACCCCGGAGAAGGAGCCUGAGAACCGGCUACUACAUCCAAGGAAGGCAGCAGGCGCGCAAAUUACCCAAUCCCGACACGGGGAGGUAGUGACAAUAAAUACUGAUACAGGGCUCUUUCGGGUCUUGUAAUUGGAAUGAGUACAAUUUAAAUCCCUUAACGAGGAACAAUUGGAGGGCAAGUCUGGUGCCAGCAGCCGCGGUAAUUCCAGCUCCAAUAGCGUAUAUUAAAGUUGUUGUGGUUAAAAAGCUCGUAGUUGAACCUUGGGCCUGGCUGGCCGGUCCGCCUCACCGCGUGUACUGGUCCGGCCGGGCCUUUCCCUCUGUGGAACCCCAUGCCCUUCACUGGGUGUGGCGGGGAAACAGGACUUUUACUUUGAAAAAAUUAGAGUGCUCCAGGCAGGCCUAUGCUCGAAUACAUUAGCAUGGAAUAAUAGAAUAGGACGUGUGGUUCUAUUUUGUUGGUUUCUAGGACCGCCGUAAUGAUUAAUAGGGACAGUCGGGGGCAUCAGUAUUCAAUUGUCAGAGGUGAAAUUCUUGGAUUUAUUGAAGACUAACUACUGCGAAAGCAUUUGCCAAGGAUGUUUUCAUUAAUCAGGAACGAAAGUUAGGGGAUCGAAGACGAUCAGAUACCGUCGUAGUCUUAACCAUAAACUAUGCCGACUAGGGAUCGGGCGAUGUUACUUUUUGACUCGCUCGGCACCUUACGAGAAAUCAAAGUGCUUGGGCUCCAGGGGGAGUAUGGUCGCAAGGCUGAAACUAAA
rnacentral:rRNA from 1 species